rnacentral:rRNA from 1 species
AAUCCUCUGAGUAAAGCGGCGCACGGGUGAGUAACACGUGGGUAAUCUGCCCUGAAGUGGGGAAUAACACCGGGAAACCGGUGCUAAUACCGCAUAUGAUCACGGUGUCUGCGGACACAGGGAUGAAAGGAGCAAUUCGCUUCAGGAGGAGCCCGCGGCUGAUUAGCUAGUUGGUGAGGUAAUGGCUCACCAAGGCUACGAUCAGUAUCCGGUCUGAGAGGACGGUCGGACACACUGGAACUGAGACACGGUCCAGACUCCUACGGGAGGCAGCAGUGGGGAAUUUUUCGCAAUGGGGGCAACCCUGACGAAGCAACGCCGCGUGGAUGAUGAAGUAUCUCGGUACGUAAAAUCCUUUCGACAGGGAAGAAACCGCAAGGUUGACGGUACCUGUAGAAGAAGCCCCGGCUAACUCCGUGCCAGCAGCCGCGGUAAUACGGGGGGGGCUAGCGUUGUUCGGAAUUACUGGGCGUAAAGGGCGCGUAGGCGGUCUGCUAAGUUGGAUGUGAAAACUCUGGGCUUAACCCAGAGCCUGCAUUCAAAACUGACAGGCUAGAGUUCUGGAGGGGAUAGCGGAAUUCCUGGUGUAGCGGUGAAAUGCGUAGAUAUCAGGAGGAACACCGGUGGCGAAGGCGGCUAUCUGGACAGAAACUGACGCUGAGGCGCGAAAGCUAGGGGAGCAAACAGGAUUAGAUACCCUGGUAGUCCUAGCCCUAAACGAUGGAUACUUGGUGUGACUGGGAUUGAAUCCAGUCGUGCCGAAGCUAACGCAUUAAGUAUCCCGCCUGGGGAGUACGGUCGCAAGGCUG